UACAGAGGGUGCGAGCGUUAAUCGGAAUUACUGGGCGUAAAGCGUGCGCAGACGGUUGCGUAAGUCAGAUGUGAAAGCCCCGGGCUCAACCUGGGAAUUGCAUUUGAGACUGCGUAGCUAGGGUGCGGAAGAGGGAAGCGGGAAUUUCCGGUGUAGCGGUGAAAUGCGUAGAUAUCGGAAGGAACACCAGUGGCGAAAGCGGCUUCCUGGUCCAGCACCGACGUCAGGCACGAAAGCGUGGGGAGCAAACAGG
rnacentral:rRNA from 1 species